ensembl:lncRNA
AAGAGUUCAGACUUGAAGGCCUGAGCUAGUGUGCUGUGAUGAGCUACACGGACAGGUCUUGCUAGUUGCAGGACUUGGACUUACUUUGGGUGUGGCCACAGGAGUCUUGUGAGAGAAGCGAAUAUUUGCAUGGGAGCCUUGCAUUGACACUGUGUGCUUUGGAUUUCAGGGAGCAGGCUGAUGCCUCUUGGGGCAUAAUACAAAGUCUUGGAACUGUGAAUUAUCCACAAAGAAAAGAAAAGCAAAAACUCCAGCUUCCAGGUGCGGGUGAGCUGGUAGACUGUCUGCACACCUUUGCAGUGUGGAGAACAUUCCGGAAGGAAAGGAGCCAAGACAGGAGUUGAUGUUUAGUUAGGAGGCUGGAGCGGUGCUUCUGGGGACCCUAAGGUCUGAAGGAAGAUGGUGCUGGUGGUGACAGGAGGGGUCAGUAGAACCUGGAGCUGUCUCUGGACUAGAAAUGGCAGGAUGUUGAGAUGCUGGAUGAAGCAAGGAAGGAGGAUGAUGCUCAGAAUCAAGAUCAUGAAUGCUAUUUAAGCCCAUGGACUGGAUGGGAUAUCUAGGCAGCCAAGAGAAAUGGAGAAGAUAUUGGGACUGAACCUUGCUGUGCUCCACCAUUUAAUGAUUCUUCAGACUUGAGAUAUCCAGCCAAGG